AGCAGCCGCGGUAAUUCCAGCUCCAAUAGCGUAUAUUAAAGUUGUUGCAGUUAAAAAGCUCGUAGUUGAAUUUCGAGACUGGUUUAUUGGUCGUGCUUUUGUACGUACUGGUAUUAUUGGUUUCUCCUUUCUGACAAAUCAUAAUACCAUUAAUUUGGUGUUUUGGGGAAUCAGGACUGUUACUUUGAAAAAAUUAGAGUGUUUAAAGCAGGCUCACGCUUGAAUACAUUAGCAUGGAAUAACGGAAUAGGACGUUUGAUUCUAUUUUGUUGGUUUCUAGGAUCGACGUAAUGAUUAAUAGGGAUAGUUGGGGGCAUUAGUAUUCAAUUGUCAGAGGUGAAAUUCUUGGAUUUAUUGAAGACUAACUACUGCGAAAGCAUUUGCCAAGGAUGUUUUCAUUAAUCAAGAACGAAAGUUAAGGGAUCGAAGACGAUCAGAUACCGUCGUAGUCUUAACUAUAAACUAUGCCGACUAGGGAUCGGAUGAUGUAAUUUUUAAUGACUCAUUCGGCGCCUUACGG
rnacentral:rRNA from 1 species